GGGAUUCCCUAGUACGGCGAGUGAAGCGGGAAGAGCUCAAAUUUGAAAUCUGGUAGCCUUCGGCUGCCCGAGUUGUAAUCUAGAGAAGUGUUUUCCGUGCCGGCCCAUGUACAAGUCCCUUGGAACAGGGCGUCAUAGAGGGUGAGAAUCCCGUCCUUGACAUGGACCCCCGGUGCUUUGUGAUACACUUUCAACGAGUCGAGUUGUUUGGGAAUGCAGCUCAAAAUGGGUGGUGAAUUCCAUCUAAAGCUAAAUAUUGGCGAGAGACCGAUAGCGAACAAGUACCGUGAGGGAAAGAUGAAAAGCACUUUGGAAAGAGAGUUAAACAGUACGUGAAAUUGUUGAAAGGGAAACGAUUGAAGUCAGUCAUGCUCUUUGGAUUCAGCCGUUCUGCGGUGUAUUUCCAUUGAGUGGGGUCAACAUCAGUUUUGACCGCUGGAUAAAGGCACUAGGAAGGUAGCACUCUCGGGUGAACUUAUAGCCUAGCGUCAUAUACAGUGGUUGGGACUGAGGAACGCAGCAUGCCUUUAUGGCCGGGAUUCGUCCACGUACAUGCUUAGGAUGUUGACAUAAUGGCUUUAAACGAC
rnacentral:rRNA from 1 species